GGAGUGGCCACCAAGAGAGCUCAGAGGCCUGUGGACCAGAACGCCAGGCCUAGGAUGGAUGAGGGUGCAGUGCUGCUGACAUAGGCGAGUCACUCAUCCAGAACCUCUGCCCUGCUGCCUUUCACUGGCAAGAAAGCCUGUCACCAGUACUACUGCCACCUGAAGGAACAGAUACUGAGUUCCAGGUUUCUGCACAUAGAGAAGGCCUGCUUUCUCCUGGCUGCCAGUGGGUUACAGGAUGACCUGGGCCACCAAAAGGACUUAGUCCUUAUGAGCAGGUAAAGGAGGAGGACCACCCUACUGUUUUCCUGCGUCUCACUCUGAAUGGAGUGAUCAUCUAUCAGGAGGAAGACUACACUCCACAGUGGCUCUGUGACUUCCCCAGGAUACAUAUUUAAAG